UACGUAGGGGUCAAGCGUUGUCCGGAAUCAUUGGGCGUAAAGAGCGUGUAGGCGGCCCGAUAAGUCCGCUGUGAAAGUCCAGGGCUCAACCCUGGGAUGCCGGUGGAUACUGUCGGGCUCGAGUCCGGAAGAGGAGUGUGGAAUUCCUGGUGUAGCGGUGAAAUGCGCAGAUAUCAGGAGGAACACCAAUGGCGAAGGCAGCACUCUGGGACGUGACUGACGCUGAGACGCGAAAGCGUGGGGAGCAAACAGG
rnacentral:rRNA from 1 species